CCUACGGGUGGCAGCAGUGAGGAAUAUUGGUCAAUGGGCGGAAGCCUGAACCAGCCAAGUCGCGUGAGGGAUUAAGGCCCUAUGGGUCGUAAACCUCUUUUGUCAGGGAGCAAGGUCGUCCACGUGUGGGCGUAUGGAGAGUACCUGAAGAAAAAGCAUCGGCUAACUCCGUGCCAGCAGCCGCGGUAAUACGGAGGAUUCAAGCGUUAUCCGGAUUUAUUGGGUUUAAAGGGUGCGUAGGCGGUCGGAUAAGUUAGAGGUGAAAUCCCGAGGCUCAACUUCGGAAUUGCCUCUGAUACUGUUCGGCUAGAGAGUAGUUGCGGUAGGCGGAAUGUAUGGUGUAGCGGUGAAAUGCUUAGAGAUCAUACAGAACACCGAUUGCGAAGGCAGCUUACCAAGCUACUUCUGACGUUGAGGCACGAAAGCGUGGGGAGCAAACAGGAUUAGAUACCCCUGUAGUC
rnacentral:rRNA from 1 species